rnacentral:rRNA from 1 species
GGUUAAGCGACUAAGCGUACACGGUGGAUGCCCUGGCAGUCAGAGGCGAUGAAGGACGUGCUAAUCUGCGAAAAGCGCCGGCGAGGUGAUAUGAACCUUUGACCCGGCGAUGUCCGAAUGGGGAAACCCAGUGUGAUUCGUCACACUAUCGUUAACUGAAUACAUAGGUUAACGAGGCGAACCGGGGGAACUGAAACAUCUAAGUACCCCGAGGAAAAGAAAUCAACCGAGAUUCCCCCAGUAGCGGCGAGCGAACGGGGAGCAGCCCAGAGUCUGAAUCAGCUUGUGUGUUAGUGGAAGCGUCUGGAAAGUCGCACGGUACAGGGUGACAGUCCCGUACACGAAAGCACACAGGUUGUGAACUCGAAGAGUAGGGCGGGACACGUGGUAUCCUGUCUGAAUAUGGGGGGACCAUCCUCCAAGGCUAAAUACUCCUGACUGACCGAUAGUGAACCAGUACCGUGAGGGAAAGGCGAAAAGAACCCCGGCGAGGGGAGUGAAAAAGAACCUGAAACCGUGUACGUACAAGCAGUGGGAGCACCUUCGUGGUGUGACUGCGUACCUUUUGUAUAAUGGGUCAGCGACUUAUAUUCUGUAGCAAGGUUAACCGUAUAGGGGAGCCGAAGGGAAACCGAGUCUU